rnacentral:rRNA from 1 species
UACGAAGGGUGCAAGCGUUACUCGGAAUCACUGGGCGUAAAGCGUGCGUAGGCGGCCAACUAAGUCAGACGUGAAAUCCCUCGGCUUAACCGGGGAACUGCGUCUGAUACUGGAUGGCUUGAGUUCGGGAGAGGGAUGCGGAAUUCCAGGUGUAGCGGUGAAAUGCGUAGAUAUCUGGAGGAACACCGGUGGCGAAGGCGGCAUCCUGGACCGACACUGACGCUGAGGAGCGAAAGCCAGGGGAGCAAACGGG